rnacentral:rRNA from 1 species
UACACACCGCCCGUCACACCAUGGGAGUUGAUUGCACCAGAAGUAGGUAGCCUAACCGCAAGGGGGGCGCUUACCACGGUGUGGUCAAUGACUGGGGUG